AAUAACUGGUGCAAUAAUCAGACGAUGGUAAUGACUGGUCGGGAAGAUUAAUAUGCAAACAUAUUCCAUAUGUUUAUGAGUGGGUAUGAAGUGAAACACUUCCAUUAAAGAAAUCUAUUUUGGGGCAGUACCAGUAAAAUCGUUGAAAUUAUUACUGUAGCGGGUGCUACCUGUUAACUGAGAUCAGGCAAGACAGAAUGUGGCAAAUGGAUCGACUAAAUUCAAUUGGAUAAACUGUCUCACCUCGUUAUUGUUUAAGAGCAGGGCAGCCCAUCUCACAGACGAGUAAACUGUAAAAGCUGCAGUUGUCUGUUAUUGUCGUGUCGUAACAUCAAUGAAGCUACAGCUCGUUUGCAUCUGACAACAUACUUCUGGAGGCAGUCUCUCCCCACGGCCUACCGGCUCUUGGUAAGCCGACCAAAUGGUCUUCAUCAGAUCAUGACCCCACCUGGACUGACGAACGUCAAUCCUGAGCUAGGAGGACUGCUCAGUCAAGCUGACAAGACAAAGGAAAUUGAAGUGAACUAUCAGUCACAAGCUGUGGGCAGGCCAAGGAGUGGCCAGAGACAAAUUAACCAGUGUUUUAAGCACGUUGCUUGACAUUGAACCUCACCCAUGAAUUCAAUGAUCCAAUCAAAAUGGAUCAAGGUUUAAUUCAGAAAGACUGGAACAAGGUCUGAAGUUGGGAAGCUGACUGUAAAAAGUUAUGUGCUGAAGGUGAAAUCUGCUCUGAAGAGUGAAUAGAAUCCGAUACGAAAAUGGGUAAAAUCAUGUCCCGAGAAGACUAAAACCAGCUCUGAAGAGGACCCUGCUCUGCAUGGUAAACUCUAACCAGGAAACGGGACGAUUGCAAGGACCCACGACGGGCCCUUUUGUAAACUGCUUGGAACUGAAGAGAAACCAACAGCCAUUUCGAUUCAGAGACCUGCAUCCCGAGCCAUAAUUCUAACCAGGGUUGUUUAAAUGAACUUAAAUAAUUAAGUGCUGAGAUAAUCCAGGUGACUAGUAAUUAAGAGGACUUGGGUGAUUAGAAUAGUUCGCUGAAACAACACAAGACCCACAUGUUUGCAGUGGAUUAAGCCACAUAUUCUUUAAACUGAGUACGUCUGAUCAGCAGAACCCGUUCCAUUUGGAAACCUUUCGACAAGCCAAAGAUAAUGUUGCAGGGUUGUUGAUCAGGACUUCCCUCCUUUUGAUAACAACUAUUAUCUUGUUGCGAGCCGACUCAGUACAAUGCCAACAACAACCAAAGUACAUUCUUUUCCUUCUGUGGAACGUCCCAGAGAGAUUGACUGCUUUGUUGAAAAUCAAGAAGUAUUCAACAAAUCAAAUAUUAAACAUUUUAUGGCUCGGAAAUUUAACUGUGGCAAAUGCAGGGAAGUUAGUGGAUAAAUUGUUCUAGGAAUAUAACUUCCUGUUUUAGUGUGCAAGAAAUAUAUUUUGUUAAUGUGUAACUCAAAGGAGUUGCCUCAAAUGCGAAAAUUUUGAUCAUUUCCCCAUUUAAGUGAUAACAUGUUGUUUGGUAGAUCAUGUCUGAGCUAAGUUAACCCUAUAAAACUAAUUUUGAUAAAUUACUUCUUGGAAUGUGGGAUUCCGUUCUGAAUGGGGGAAGUUCAAUGAAUUCUCAUGCAUUUGUAUAUGAAAUAUGAUCACUUGAAAUGAGUAUUAAAUACUAAUGCAUAGUAGACGCUGAUCAGCCAUAAUUUAAUAUUGAUAUAUUAACUAUAUGCUAAUAUUGUAAUCAUAUGACUAGGAAAUCAAUGAACUGUAUACUAUUCAUGUAUGUUUAUAACCAAUCACCUUUCUGUAAGAUUAGUUGUGCACCCUUUUUAGUCUUAAAUAAAAUCUUAUUUUGUAUUAGA